CCUACGGGGGGCAGCAGUGGGGAAUAUUGCACAAUGGGCGCAAGCCUGAUGCAGCCAUGCCGCGUGUGUGAAGAAGGCCUUCGGGUUGUAAAGCACUUUCAGCGGGGAGGAAGGCGUUAAGGUUAAUAACCUUGGCGAUUGACGUUACCCGCAGAAGAAGCACGGGCUAACUCCGUGCCAGCAGCCGCGGUAAUACGGAGGGUGCAAGCGUUAAUCGGAAUUACUGGGCGUAAAGCGCACGCAGGCGGUCUGUCAAGUCGGAUGUGAAAUCCCCGGGCUCAACCUGGGAACUGCAUUCGAAACUGGCAGGCUAGAGUCUUGUAGAGGGGGGUAGAAUUCCAGGUGUAGCGGUGAAAUGCGUAGAGAUCUGGAGGAAUACCGGUGGCGAAGGCGGCCCCCUGGACAAAGACUGACGCUCAGGUGCGAAAGCGUGGGGAGCAAACAGGAUUAGAUACCCUUGUAGUC
rnacentral:rRNA from 1 species